ensembl:snRNA U6 U6 spliceosomal RNA
GUGCUCUCUUCAGCAGCACAUAUACUAAAAUUGGAGUGAUAUAGAGAUUACAUUGGCCCCUGUACAAGGAUGACACACAAACUCAUGAAGCAUUCCAUAUUUUU